UACGAAGGGUGCUAGCGUUGUUCGGAAUCACUGGGCGUAAAGCGCGCGUAGGCGGCUUUCAAGUCAGAGGUGAAAUCCCACAGCUUAACUGUGGAACUGCCUUUGAAACUGAAAGCUAGAGUGUCGGAGGGGAUGGCGGAAUUCCUAAUGUAGAGGUGAAAUUCGUAGAUAUUAGGAGGAACACCGGUGGCGAAGGCGGCCAUCUGGACGACAACUGACGCUGAGGCGCGAAAGCGUGGGGAUCAAACAGG
rnacentral:rRNA from 1 species